UACGUAGGGUGCGAGCGUUGUCCGGAAUUAUUGGGCGUAAAGAGCUUGUAGGCGGUUUGUCGCGUCUGCUGUGAAAAUCCGGGGCUCAACCCCGGACUUGCAGUGGGUACGGGCAGACUAGAGUGUGGUAGGGGAGACUGGAAUUCCUGGUGUAGCGGUGGAAUGCGCAGAUAUCAGGAGGAACACCUGAGGUGAAGACGGGUUGCUGGGCUGACACUGACGCUGAGGCGCGAAAGCCAGGGGAGCAAACGGG
rnacentral:rRNA from 1 species